AUGGAGCUCAAGGCCAUGAGCAGAUACAACAGCCCGGUCAACCCAGCUGUCUUCCCCCAUCUGAUUGUAGAGCUUUUGGCCAUCGACAUGUUCUUCACCACCUGGUUCUUUGUUUACGAGGUCACCUCUACCAAGUACACUUGUGAUAUCUAUAAAGAGUAUCUCCUUGGUGGCCUCACUCUUCAUGGGCUUUGAAGUCCUCUUCCUGAUGCUCUGGGUUGGCAUCUACAUGUGA
rnacentral:lncRNA from 1 species